GCUGUCGAUGAUGUGAAUCUUACAAUCCUUACCUACCUUGUUUGAAUGACACUGAAAAGAAAAAAUAACUGAGACAUGC